UGAGGAAUAUUGGUCAAUGGGCGAGAGCCUGAACCAGCCAAGUAGCGUGCAGGAUGACGGCCCUAUGGGUUGUAAACUGCUUUUAUAUGGGAAUAAAGUGAGGGACGUGUCCCUUAUUGCAUGUACCAUACGAAUAAGGACCGGCUAAUUCCGUGCCAGCAGCCGCGGUAAUACGGAAGGUCCAGGCGUUAUCCGGAUUUAUUGGGUUUAAAGGGAGCGUAGGCUGUUUGUUAAGCGUGUUGUGAAAUGUAGGAGCUCAACUUUUAGAUUGCAGCGCGAACUGGCAGACUUGAGUGCGCACAACGUAGGCGGAAUUCAUGGUGUAGCGGUGAAAUGCUUAGAUAUCAUGACGAACUCCGAUUGCGAAGGCAGCUUACGGGAGCGCAACUGACGCUAAAGCUCGAAGGUGCGGGUAUCGAACAGG
rnacentral:rRNA from 2 species